rnacentral:sRNA from 12 species
GCCUCCCUGCGACCGCCGAAGCCUGACGUUCCUGCGUCAGAGAUUUAUGUAGGCGGCGUGGGGAGGA